UGGGGAAUAUUGCACAAUGGGCGCAAGCCUGAUGCAGCCAUGCCGCGUGUGUGAAGAAGGCCUUCGGGUUGUAAAGCACUUUCAGCGGGGAGGAAGGCGGUGAGGUUAAUAACCUCAUCGAUUGACGUUACCCGCAGAAGAAGCACCGGCUAACUCCGUGCCAGCAGCCGCGGUAAUACGGAGGGUGCAAGCGUUAAUCGGAAUUACUGGGCGUAAAGCGCACGCAGGCGGACUGUCAAGUCGGAUGUGAAAUCCCCGGGCUUAACCUGGGAACUGCAUUCGGAACUGGGAGGCUAGAGUCUUGUAGAGGGGGGUAGAAUUCCAGGUGUAGCGGUGAAAUGCGUAGAGAUCAGGAGGGAUACCGGUGGCGAAGGCGGCCACCUAGACAAAGACUGACGCUCAGGUGCGAAAGCGUGGGGAGCAAACAGG
rnacentral:rRNA from 1 species